UACGAAGGGGGCUAGCGUUGCUCGGAAUCACUGGGCGUAAAGCGCACGUAGGCGGCUUUUUAAGUCAGGGGUGAAAUCCUGGAGCUCAACUCCAGAACUGCCUUUGAUACUGAGAAGCUUGAGUCCGGGAGAGGUGAGUGGAACUGCGAGUGUAGAGGUGAAAUUCGUAGAUAUUCGCAAGAACACCAGUGGCGAAGGCGGCUCACUGGCCCGGUACUGACGCUGAGGUGCGAAAGCGUGGGGGGCAAACAGG
rnacentral:rRNA from 1 species